ACGCUCGACACCUACUGGAGGCAGCAGUCGGGAAUAUUGCGCAAUGGAGGAAACUCUGACGCAGUGACGCCGCGUAUGGGAAGAAGGUUUUCGGAUUGUAAACCAUUUUAGACAAGGAAGAAACAAGACAGUACUUGUAGAAUAAGCUCCGGCUAACUACGUGCAAGCAGCCGCGGUAAUCUGAGCGGGCUGGCAAGGC
rnacentral:rRNA from 1 species